GAUGAACGCUGGCGGCGCGCCUAACACAUGCAAGUCGAACGGCACCCCUCCUCGGAGGGAAGCGAGUGGCGAACGGCUGAGUAACACGUGGAGAACCUGCCCCCUCCCCCGGGAUAGCCGCCCGAAAGGACGGGUAAUACCGGAUACCCCGGGGUGCCGCAUGGCACCCCGGCUAAAGCCCCGACGGGAGGGGAUGGCUCCGCGGCCCAUCAGGUAGACGGCGGGGUGACGGCCCACCGUGCCGACAACGGGUAGCCGGGUUGAGAGACCGACCGGCCAGAUUGGGACUGAGACACGGCCCAGACUCCUACGGGAGGCAGCAGUGGGGAAUCUUGCGCAAUGGGGGGAACCCUGACGCAGCGACGCCGCGUGCGGGACGGAGGCCUUCGGGUCGUAAACCGCUUUCAGCAGGGAAGAGUCAAGACUGUACCUGCAGAAGAAGCCCCGGCUAAUUACGUG
rnacentral:rRNA from 1 species